rnacentral:rRNA from 1 species
GUGGGGAAUCUUCCGCAAUGGGCGAAAGCCUGACGGAGCAACGCCGCGUGAGUGAUGACGGCCUUCGGGUUGUAAAGCUCUGUUAUAUGGGACGAACGGGCAUGGGGCCAAUACCCUCAUGCAGUGACGGUACCGUAAGAGAAAGCCACGGCUAACUACGUGCCAGCAGCCGCGGUAAUACGUAGGUGGCAAGCGUUGUCCGGAAUUAUUGGGCGUAAAGGGCGUGUAGGCGGCCAGACAAGUCUGUCUUAAAAGUGCGGGGCUCAACCCCGUGAUGGGAUGGAAACUGUCGGGCUAGAGUGUCGGAGAGGAAAGCGGAAUUCCUAGUGUAGCGGUGAAAUGCGUAGAUAUUAGGAGGAACACCAGUGGCGAAAGCGGCUUUCUGGACGACAACUGACGCUGAGGCGCGAAAGCCAGGGGAGCAAACGGGAUUAGAUACCCCGGUAGUCC